rnacentral:lncRNA from 1 species
CCGAUACAGACAUCGAAAAUGUCAAAUAAAUGUGAAACAGAAGAUACAGUAGAGUAUCAUAAGAUCGCCAAAUCCAUAUUCUGAAUACACAGUACAUCCACGAAAUAUAAACUUUUCAAAUAAAAAUACCACAUGCAGAUUAUGCCAGUAUCUGGAUACCAGGCUUUUGCUGCCCUCGGAGACUUCUUAUAUAAAAACAAUAAGCUGUUGUCUAAUCUAAUAUAAGAAAAUAGGUCUAGUCUAUAUAUAAUAGUUAUCUAACUAUUUGCUAUUGUAAAGCUAAUAACGCUUCAUCUGGUGGUUAUUUAAGAGAAGGGCGGCGUUGAGUUUGGAUAGAUCCAGGAAGACUUUGUAUGACCACGCAUUCAGAUUUUCAACAUUGAAAAUUCUCUCAUCGAGCAUAUUCUGCAUUGUAUUAAACCAAACAUGUUUUUUCUAUCCAGUUGUAACACUAGUUGUAAGAUCCAUACUUCUGUUUAAACUUUGAUUCAUUAAUAUGUUUCAGAGUUUAGUGUGAGUUCAUCAGCCGAACUAGUAUACAUUAAUUAUUGUUCAGGGACAAGAUGAAGCCGACUCCGGCUAUUGUAAAGACUAAUUCUU